rnacentral:rRNA from 1 species
UACGUAGGGUGCAAGCGUUAAUCGGAAUUACUGGGCGUAAAGCGUGCGCAGGCGGCGCGUUAAGACAGGUGUGAAAGCCCCGAGCUUAACUUGGGAAUUGCGCUUGUGACUGGCGUGCUGGAGUGUGGCAGAGGGAGGUGGAAUUCCACGUGUAGCAGUGAAAUGCGCAGAUAUCAGGAAGAACACCUAUGGCGAAGGCAGCUCUCUGGGACGGUACUGACGCUGAGACGCGAAAGCGUGGGGAGCGAACAGG